AACGAACGCUGGCGGCAGGCUUAACACAUGCAAGUCGAACGCACCUUUCGGGGUGAGUGGCCGACGGGUGAGUAACGCGUGGGAAUCUACCCUUCUCUACGGGAUAGCUCCGGGAAACUGGAAUUAAUACCGUAUACGUCCUGAGGGCGAAAGAUUUAUCGGGGAAGGAUGAGCCCGCGUUGGAUUAGCUAGUUGGUGGGGUAAAGGCCUACCAAGGCGACGAUCCAUAGCUGGUCUAAGAGGAUGAUCAGCCACAUUGGGACUGAGACACGGCCCAAACUCCUACGGGAGGCAGGAGUGGGGAAUAUUGGACAAUGGGCGCAAGCCUGAUCCAGCCAUGACGCGUGAGUGAUGAAGGCACUAGGGUUGUAAAGCUCUUUCAGUGGGGAAGAUAAUGACGGUACCCACAGAAGAAGCCCCGGCUAACUUCGUG
rnacentral:rRNA from 1 species